AUUCUCCAAACUGCUUCAAAAAGGUUCAGGAAUCUUGAAGCUUUCCUGGAAUUGAUUGAUGCUCAGUCAACAGGCACGUUUGUGUACCACUUUUCAUUAUGAGUUUCCACAUUGUUCAUUUUAUCUUUCCAGGAAGUGCUGUGGAACAUCAGAUAGAAUGGAUAGCACAGCCCAAAUUUUACAAAAAGGAUUUUAAAGGAAGAUCUCAAUGGUGGAACACUAGAGGCUUUCCUGCUAAAGUUAAGAACAAGCAAAGGCUGACGCAGUUUUGGCAUGCAGGAAGUGUUGGAGCUGAGACUCGAAACUGUCCCCCAGGCCUUGGCCAUGCUGAUAAAUAUCUAGGCCCUACAGGAGUUCGUGUCCAUGAACCCAGUAAACGCAAUUCCUCAGCCUUAAAAUCUAGUCACUGACUCAUUUCAGGCCCCAGCACAGACGAAAACAAGCCAUUCUGUUUGCCCAGUUUACAUUGCGGGUCUCCAAGAAGUGGAAUGUUCACCAAUGAUUUUAAGAAAACAGGGCCUGGCGCGGUGGCUCACGCCUGUAAUCCCAGCACUUUGGGAGGCCGAGGCAGGCAGAUCACCUGAGGUUGGGAGUUUGAGAUCAGCCUGACCAACAUGGAGAAACCCCAUUUCUACUAAAAAUACAAAAUUAGCCGGGUGUGGUGGUGCAUGCUUGUAAUCCCAGCUACUCAGGAGGCUGAGGCAGAAUUGCCUGAAGCUGGGAGGCGGAGGUUGCAGUGAGCCAGAGAUCGUGCCAUUACAUUCCAGCCUGGGCAACAAGAGCAAAACUCUGUCUCAAAAUAAUAAUAAUAAUAAUAAUAAUUAAAAAAAAAAAAACAGUACGAGUGUGAAGAUCGGAAGGUGGAGGUGAGGGAGGUGAGAGGUCUUGGGCCUGCCCACAUUCUUCCUAAGCUAUUUUGGCUGGCCCAGGCUGGGAGGCCAGGAAUUGCUUUUCCUCUUCAAAAGAAAAGGGGACAAAAAAUUAGCUGGGCGUGGUAGCACUCAUCUGUAGUCCCAGCUACUCAGGAGGCUGAGGCAGAAGAAUUGCUUGAACCGGGGAGGCAGAGGUUGCAGUAAGCUGAGAUUGUGCUGCUGCCCUCCAGCCUGGGUGACAGAGCGAGACUCGGUCUCAAAAAAAAAAAAAAAAAAAAUGGGGAGGAGGACAGGGCAUGGUGGUUCAUGCCUAUAAUUCCAGCAUUUUGGGAGGCCAAGGCAGGCAGAUCACUUGAGGCCAGGAGUUCGAGACCAACCUGGGCAACACAGUGAAACCCUUUCUCUACUAAAACUACAAAAAAUUACCUGGGCAUGGCAGCACAUGCCUGUAAUUUCAGCUACUCGGGAGGCUGAGGCAUGAGAAUCACUUGAACCUGAGAGGGGGAGGUUGCAGUGAGCCAAGAUGGCACCACUGCACUCCAGCCUGGGCAACAGCGUGAGACUCUGUCUCAAAAAAAAAAAAAAAAAAAAAAAAUGGCUGGGACACCGUGACUCAUGCCUGUAAUUCCAGCACUUUGGGAGGCAGAGGCAGGAGGAUCCCUGUGAGGCCAGGAGUUCAAGACCAGCCUGGGCAACAUAGUGAGACCCAGUCUCUAUAAAAAAAUUAAAAAUUAGCCAGGCGUGGUGGUGUAUUCCUGUAGUCCCAGGUACCGGGGAGGUUGAGGUGGGAGGAUCCCUUGAGCCCAGGACUUCGAGGCUGCAGUGAGCUAUGAUCACGCCACUGCACUCCAGCCUUGGCGACAGAGCAACACCCAUCUCUUAAAUAUUAUUUAUUAUAAGGCUUUUGGGCUGGGUGCUGUGGCUCACGCCUGUAAUCCCAGCACUUUGGGAGGCCGAGGCGGGCGGAUCACGAGGUCAGGAGAUUAACACCAUCCUGGCUAACACGGUGAAACCCUGUCUCUACUAAAAAUACAAAAAAUUAGCCGGGUGUGGUGGCAUGCGCCUCUAGUCCCAGCUACUCAGUAGGCUGAGGCAGGAGUAUGGCGUGAACCUGGGAGUCGGAGCUUGCAGUGAGCCGAGAUCGCACCACUGCACUCCAGCCUGGGCAACAGAGCGAGACUCCGUCUCAAAAAAAAAAAAAAAAAGACUUUUGAUUGGGUUAGACCUCACCAGUUAGAGAUGCUCCUUUAGUUAUCUGAGGCUGCUGAGUGGGGUAAUCCUAGACCUGGAUGCUAGUUUGAAGAAAGCAAGUCUCAGUGCUGGAAGGGGUCAUUCAAGGUCAUCCAUGAGCUUCUGCUGAGCCAGGUGCUAUAGGUGGGCUAGGUGGGACAGGAGACAGGUCAGCAUCCAGGGUCCUUGAAGGGACCAUGUCCUUAAGAAGAGGUAGGAUGCCUCCAAUGCAGUGGUCCACUGCACGGUGUGGCUGAGACUGCUACAGAGGACACAUGGGAAGACCUGCCAGGGUUGGGGGUGGGGGAGGAGCAAGGGCGUCAUCCUGGAAGUCACCCCCAAAUAGGGCCAAGAAAGAUCAGAGAGACAGCAAAGCUCUAAUACCACCCUCUGCAAACCCCACCUAUGGCGACCUCUCACCUCCUGUCUCCUAUUCUCAAACUGGCCUAUGCCUAAGGGCCAACCCAGAGACACUUCCACACUGGUCCCUGUCACACGAGACACGCUGGAAGAUGGGAAUGGCCAACCUCCAGACACACACACAUCCAGGCUCCUAUCCCCAGAGUGCGUGUUCUCAUCCUACUGCAUCUCGGAGGCUGGCAGGGUGAAUCCCCCAGCAGGUCAGGUAGGUCUGAGGUGUCUCAGCCUGAACUCAUGACUCCAAACCACCUUCACGCCUUCGUCCCAACCCAGAAGGAAGAGAUCCAGGGAGGAGGGCACACAUCGGGCUGCAGGCCAACACACUGACCCUGAGCCUGGCCUCCCCAGCAUCAGGCUGAGGAACAGGAGGGUUGAGAUGAGCCCCAUUAGGUAUGUGUGAAGUCUCUGGGACAUGGGAUGAUGCCAGCUGCUGGGAUGCAGAAAAGUUGGAGGCAGGGGACAGAGUCUCAUUCAAAAGAAUUUGUCCAUAAUCCAAGCUGGGUGUUGUGGCUCACGCCUAUAAUCCCAGCACUUUGGGAGGCCCAAGCAGAUGGAUCACUUGAGGUCAGGAGUUCAAGACCAGCCUGGCCAACAUGCUGAAACCCCGUCUCUACUAAAAAUAUAAAAAUUACCCGUAUGUGGUAGCCCAGGCCUGUAAUCCCAGUUACUUGGGAGGCUGAGGUGGGAGGAUUGCUUGAACCCAGGAGGUGGAGGUUGCAGUGAGCCCAGAUCAUGCCACUGCACACCAGCCUGGGCAACAAAGCGAGCAAAGCGAGACUCCAUUUCAAAAAAAAAAAAAAAAAAUUUUAGCUGCGUGUGCUGGCACAUGCCUGCAAAUCCCAGCUACUCCGGAGGCUGAGGCAUGAGAAUCACUUGAACCUGGGAGGCAGAGGUUACAGUGAGCCGCCAGCAACUGUAUCUCAAAUAAAUAAAUAAAUAAAUAAGAAUUUGUCUGGAAUCUGGGUGAGGCAGAGGAAAAUGAAAGAAACCAGAAAAGCAAAGAUAAACAGAUUUGCAGGGUGGGGUGGAGGAUGGAGAAUUCAAUGGAGCUGAGCACAGCAAGGAGGAGAAUGUUGGGCUGAAGGCCUGAGCUUGCUGGGGAGAUGUCCUUGAUGUCCACACUGGGCAUAGAAGGUUGAUUGAUGCCAGUGGUUAGGGUCCCAAAGAGCCCAGGGACAGCUGGAGGUAGAAAGAAAGGGUGUGGAGGCACGGAAGAUGGGCCCAUAACCCAGGAAAAGGGAGCCACAGAUAGGGGAAAUGUAUGCAGAAAUCGCCACCCUCACUCUGGGAGGCAGGUCCCGACAGAUCCCCUUAGCAGGGGACCAAUGCCCAGGACCUUGGGGAGAUGGUUGGGGACGGGGGAAGCAGCAGAUGGUCUGUUACUCAAUGAGCACACAGGAGAUGUUGGGGGGUCUUGGGGUGGAGAGUGAUUCCAUGGAAGCCUCUGGAUUGGACAAGGAGAUGUUGGUGUGAGGUUUUUCCACAGUCCAAGAGAGGCGAUUGGACAAGGAGAUGUUGGUGUGAGGUUUUUCCACAGUCCAAGAGAGGCUGGUAGAAGAAAAGCAGGUUCUGCUAUCAGGCCGGGUGCAGUGGCUCACACCUGUAAUCUCAGCCCUUUGGGAGGCCCAGGUGGGAGCAUCACAUGAGGACAGGCAUUCGAGAGCAGCCUGGGCAAGAUGGUGAAAC
rnacentral:lncRNA from 1 species